rnacentral:lncRNA from 1 species
GAGAACCAUCUGCUUCCAGACCUCAGAUGAAGGUGGAUAAAUGAAACCAGAGGAGAGAAACAACAGAUAAACAGCACUACUAUACCUACGGGUGUCUUGGACCCUGGUGAUAAGCAGUUGUUUUUUAGAGGAUCUCCAAAGAAAUGAAGGCUCAGACCUUUUCAGCAGGAUGAAUUCUACCUGGUGGUGAUGUAGAAAUACAGAGGGAUGAAAACAGGAAUUUUCCCAGAAAUUUGCGAGUGCCAGGAACAGGCAUGACUGGAGCUUCUCCACACCCCCAUGAAUGGCAAACAGUAACAAUGGUCCCAUAUCAUUUACUCCUCCAGAUAGCCUGAGAGUCUGGCCUUGCCUUUCCUGAUGGAAAAACAAGAGAAGAGAAGUGAGAGAGAAGGCUGGGGAAGAGAGAUGAACAAGACACCAUUCCGCCAGCCCCGAGAAGUCCCAAGGCCAGUGGGUGAAGAAGACAGAUAAUAACCACAGUACCACCACCUCAUAAGUGUCGUGGCUGCGCUGUGUAGAUGGUGUUGUG